rnacentral:rRNA from 1 species
UACGGAGGGGGCUAGCGUUGUUCGGAAUUACUGGGCGUAAAGCGCGCGUAGGCGGACCUGCAAGUCGGGGGUGAAAGCCCGAGGCUCAACCUCGGAACUGCCUUCGAUACUGGGGAUCUCGAGUCCGGGAGAGGUGAGUGGAACUGCGAGUGUAGAGGUGAAAUUCGUAGAUAUUCGCAAGAACACCAGUGGCGAAGGCGGCUCACUGGCCCGGAACUGACGCUGAGGUGCGAAAGCGUGGGGAGCAAACAGG